rnacentral:tRNA from 1 species
GGAGUCCCAGCUCAGCUGGUUAAUGCGUGGGUCUGUGGAACCACUGACCCGGGUUCGAGUCCCGUGGCCAGCG